AAGAUAAAGUCCGACUGGUCUAGAAAUAGAC
rnacentral:autocatalytically_spliced_intron from 1 species